AAAUGCCUAAUAAAACUAAAAACUAUAAAACCAGAAAAUGUCAGCAGUAACACACAUAUAUAUAUAUAUAUAUAUUUAAUUAAUGCCCAGCACUUUAUCAUUUAGUAUGCCAACAAAUAUUUACAGUAGAGAAGAUAUAGCAGAAAAAUCACAUUUAAAUUAGCCAAACUACUUUUAAGGUUCAACCAAUAUUAAAAUUAAAUCCAAAAUCCCUAUUGAACUGUCCUUAUGAAUCUGAUAAACUGCAGAAAUAGUUAUAGUAUUUUACAUUGUUAUUUAAAGCCGUAGUUUAUGAUAAAACUUUCUGAUUUUGCAUAUAGACGUCAUGAAUGAUGACUGGUCAAACAAACUUGUUUUGCUUGUGUUAUUAUGGAAUACAAACAGUACAGCAGUCUGGGAGGACAGACGGGUGGAAAAGUCUGUUUUUUGCUGUGCUGAAAGUGUAUUUAUUUUUCUAUUUUGCAUGUUAAGGGGACACUAUUGAUUGUAAUUGCCAUGAAAUUGGGUGUGGAGGCAGAACCCCAUGAAAAUGCUGAAACCAGCAUGAUCUGUCACUUCAUUUCCACAUAAAGUUAUUUUUAGCCGUGGACAAAAAAAAUAAUAAUAUAAAAAAUAUUACGAUACAAUUUGUUUAGGUAUUAGUUUAUUCAGUUAGCUAAAUGCAGUUACAGUUACAGUACCUGUGCAGCUCUACUUCCUGGUCUAAAGAGAUGGUUGAGGGCGGAGCGGUCUUUUAUGUUAAUGCUCCAUUGGCAGGCGGUGACAAAGAGGGGCGACUCAGAAUGCUAUUUCAUGAAUUGUUGGUGUAUUGACUCAUUAAAACUGUUCAGUUUCAGUAGGGUUAUCAUAUCUUCUUAAGCCAAUUAUCUGUUUGGGAUGUUUUGGUGUAUUGUGUUCCCUCCAGCUCGUUUCAAGGAUUUGAUUUGCCAACAUAAAAACCUCUUGAUGCAUUUUGUUUGGAGGUUAGUUCUGUUUACUUUGUUCUGUAUUUGGUUAAUUAAUUAUUCUGUUACUGAGAUCUAUGUUGUUUUUUAAAGAUGUAUUUUUUUGUAAUUUGUAGGAUUAAAUCGUUUUUUUUUUUUUGGGUAGUAAAUAAAACCCCAUUUUCUUUUACAGUUUUUCAAAACCCUGACUCAUUUGGGAUUGCUCAUUCCAUCUCAUCAGGGGUUUGGAUUUCCAGUGUUUUAACACCCCAAAGUCAAGAUCUGGCAAAUCAUCUGAACAAAGGAAGUUGGAGGGUCCAGAUGACCCAUCCUUUAUAUUGAUGUUUGAUCCCACCCAUGAUAAAGGUGAACAAAGAUGGACAGGAUUGUAUGUCUGCCACUGAAACCAGUGAAGAUAAAAAAAUAAAAAUAAAAUUAAAAAAAAA